CCUACGGGAGGCAGCAGUGGGGAAUCUUGGGCAAUGGGCGCAAGCCUGACCCAGCAACGCCGCGUGAAGGAAGAAGGCUUUCGGGUUGUAAACUUCUUUUCUCAGGGACGAAGAAAGUGACGGUACCUGAGGAAUAAGCCACGGCUAACUACGUGCCAGCAGCCGCGGUAAUACGUAGGUGGCAAGCUUUAUCCGGAUGUACUGGGUGUAAAGGGCGUGUAGGCGGGACUGCAAGUCAGAUGUGAAAACCACGGGCUCAACCUGUGGCCUGCAUUUGAAACUGUAGUUCUUGAGUACUGGAGAGGCAGACGGAAUUGCUGGUGUAGCGGUGAAAUGCGUAGAUAUGAGGAGGAACACCAGUGGCGAAGGCGGUCUGCUGGACAGCAACGGACGCUGAGGCGCGAAAGCGUGGGGAGCAAACAGGAUUAGAUACCCUUGUAGUC
rnacentral:rRNA from 1 species